CGGGCUGUAGCGCAGUUUGGUAGCGCACUUGGCUGGGGGCCAAGGGGUCGCCGGUUCAAAUCCGGCCAGCCCGACCA
rnacentral:tRNA from 1 species